rnacentral:rRNA from 1 species
GAUGAACGCUGGCGGCGUGCCUAAUACAUGCAAGUCGAGCGAACAGACGAGGAGCUUGCUCCUCUGACGUUAGCGGCGGACGGGUGAGUAACACGUGGAUAACCUACCUAUAAGACUGGGAUAACUUCGGGAAACCGGAGCUAAUACCGGAUAAUAUAUUUAACCUCAUGGUUCAAUAGUGAAAGACGGUUUUGCUGUCACUUAUAGAUAGAUCCGCGCCGCAUUAGCUAGUUGGUAAGGUAACGGCUUACCAAGGCAACGAUGCGUAGCCGACCUGAGAGGGUGAUGGGCCACACUGGAACUGAGACACGGUCCAGACUCCUACGGGAGGCAGCAGUAGGGAAUCUUCCGCACUGGGCGAAAGCUUGCAGGAGCAACGCCGCGUGAGUGAUGCAGGUCUUCGGAUCGUAAAACUCUGUUAUUAGGGAAGACCAAAUGUGUAAGUAACUAUGCACGUCUUGACGGUACCUAAUCAGAAAGCCACGGCUAACUACGUG